AUGAAUGGCGGAGGUUGUUUGGGCACGACACUCCAAAUUUGCACAAUUCAGGUAUACGACUUCUUGUCAAACUGUUUCUUCCUCUGGUUGUGAAAAAAAUAGGAGCGUGUUGGAAAGGGUCCAUUCAAAGAGGAGGAAUAGGUAAUGAUGUUGUUUAUGUACUUCUCAAUAUCCGUUUGAAAAAUGGGUAUGUAGCUUUUAUCUUGUUAAUUUGUUAUGUCACUCUGUUUACUUAGUUCAUUAUGGAGACGACUCUGGAAUAUGAUAGUCAAAUUCAUUUAUUUUGUUUAAGUUUGUAGGGUUUACAGCAAGAAGACAACAUUCGAUCCUAUUGAGUGUGAGUGUAUUGAGAAGAUUGACUAUUAGAUUAUCGAGGAAAAUCCUUCAUCCCAACUGGGUGUGUAGAGUUGGACUCACCCUAGAGGAGCAAAAUGCUCAUACACUUGGAGGUUAGUAAAUGAAGAUGCAAUAUUAAACAAUCACCUCAUUUUUAUAUGUUUGAUUUUGGGGGAUGAUGCAAAGAUGGAGAGGAGGUUGAUGAUUUGUUAGAGGUUAAAGAAGGGAUGGAUCUUUCAUCCUUUGAUGUUGGACCUAGUGGUGCAAAUGACAAUAGUCAAAGAUUAAAACAUCUGCGUAAGAUGUUGAACCAAACCGAACUGAUCGAUUAAAUUGAUUCAACUGAAAAUUGCCUCCACCAGUUAUCUCUUCAGAAAAAUUGAAUUUAUGGUGUAGUUGCGUCUUGGUCGCCUGUUUUAAUUAGACUGCUUGGCUUUAUGUUUGAACUUCAUCGGCUUAAGUAAAUGCUAUAAUUGUAAGUAUUCUAGGGUCGGAUUGAAUACGUCCUUAUUCAAAGCGUGC
rnacentral:lncRNA from 1 species